UCUUCCUACGGGGGGCAGCAGUGAGGAAUAUUGGUCAAUGGCCGCAGGGCUGAACCAGCCAAGUCGCGUAAGGGAGUACUGCCCUAUGGGUUGUAAACCUCUUUUGUCGGGGAGCAAAAGCCGGACGUGUCCGGCUGUGAGAGUACCCGAAGAAAAAGCAUCGGCUAACUCCGUGCCAGCAGCCGCGGUAAUACGGAGGAUGCGAGCGUUAUCCGGAUUUAUUGGGUUUAAAGGGUGCGCAGGCGGAUUUUUAAGUCAGCGGUCAAAUCGUGGGGCUCAACCCCAUCCAGCCGUUGAAACUGGGG
rnacentral:rRNA from 1 species